ACUCCUACCACCUGGUGCCUUGGGCCCCAACAGUCUAAAAGAUAAUCAAUGAGGGCACAGCUUCAUUGAUACAGGAAACAACCUUCAUUAGCGACAAACCUAUAUAACCUCUUCCCCAGUAGGCCCUCAAGCAGCCAACAAAAAUAAAAUGCGUUACAGCAAUAAAUAUUCUAAUCCCAUAAUCUUAUAUAAACCUCCUACUCAAUAUCGGACAAAUCUAUUAUAUUAUAGAUACACCCAUGUUAAAACUAGUAAUAAGAAAAAUUCUCUCCGCACAAGCAAACACUAACAGACAUACCACUUGAACCCCACCACCCACACAAGAAAACCAAAUCUACCUAAACUGUUAACCCAACCCAGGAGUGCAUAAAGAAGAUUAAAAGUUACAAAAGGAACUCGGCAACCUAAGUCCCAACUGUUUACCAAAAACAUAGCCUUUAGCCCAACAAGUAUUAAAGGUGAUGCCUGCCCAGUGAUAUUUUCAACGGCCGCGGGAUCCUACACCGUGCAAAGGUAGCAUAAUCACUUGUCAUCUAAAUAAUGACUAGCAUGAAUGGCCAAAUGAGGACUUUACUGUCUCUUGUAACCAAUCUAUGAAACUGAUCUUCCAGUUCAAAAGCUGGAAUAAACACACAAGACGAAAAGACCCUGUGGAACUUUCAAGUGUUAAUCAAUACAUGAUAUAACCACUUUUAGUUGGGGCAACUUUGGAACAAAAUAAAACUUCCAAUUACGGGAAAUAAUUAAAGUUAGGUCUACACACCAAUCUUUAUUACCCAUUAUCGACCCAGUACUACUGAUAAAAGAACCAAGCUACCCCAGGGAUAACAGCGCCAUCCCCUCUUAGAGUCCCAAUCGACGAGCGGGGCUUACGACCUCGAUGUUGGAUCAGGGCCCCCAAACAGUGCAGCAGCUGUUAAAGGUUUGUUUGUUCAACAAUUAAUGCCCUACGUGAUCUGAGUUCAAACCGGA
rnacentral:rRNA from 1 species